UUAGUCUAACCCAAACCCGCUUUACUCCAUAUCGUAUUCAUGUUUUGUUAUCGUGUCGUGUCAAAUACUACUGGCCCUCUAUCGUGAACUGUAUUGGUCUUUGCUCGAUCAUGUAAUAAAGAUCCACUGCGGGGUUAUUUUUUGCUUGCUUCUCUUUUGUUUAACAGGUAACGGGGUAAUUUGAUAUGCGAUAAUUCAUGUAUGUUGUUCUUCCGUGAAUUACAUUAUUCAUGUCUUCCAUUAUUGAAAUAAGCAUCGGAGAGGAAAAUCGGGAUUCCCUCUCGAUUCUCCCUUCGUGCAGGUGAUCGUGGUCGAUCAAGGAGUGCUCGACGAUGGCUAGAUCCAAGGAGAUUGGUUCUUGACUCGAGGUUCGGAGCCCAUAGCAUGUGCUUCAUUCACAUGGGCAUCUUGGAGAUCAUCAACCCCGUGAGGUUAGUGAUCUAAUUUCGCUUCUGCAUUUAAUUUCAAUAUCCGACUAAAGACCCGAUCUUUAUGUGACUCGAGUAUGGGCAUGAAUUGAUUUUACCGCAUUGACCAAGUUGAGCCUUUCAAUUUCCAUCAAGACUAUUGUACAUGGCGCAUUCAGAGGAGCGAGUUCAUCCAGGUGGAAAGCUUUUCGCUCGUCACGUCUUCCUUCACCCUUCGCUCCCACUGUGGGAUUAUCCUUGUUUCUUCCUCGCAAAGAUUCCUCUGUUUGUCAUGAAUCUACGAGCCUUGUUUGGCAGAUCAUUGAACCUAGUAGGCUGCGUCACCAACAGGCUUUUUACUAAAUCUUCGUUCUUCAGUCCUCGUGGAAAAGCCACCAUCUUCUUUCGCUCAACAGAUCGUCGACUUCUACUAUCAUUUUGAAGAAACGAUCGUAAUAGUCUCGGAGAGUUUCCCUCUCCCCCUGCUCUCUGGUGAAGAGCUCAAUGACAUCUUUCUUGAUUUUGCAUAUUCUGGCAAAAGCUCUCUACAAACCGAUCUCUAAGCUGUUGAAAAUUGGAGAUUGAUCCAGGGGGAGAAAGUGGAACCAGUCUGCUGCAAUUACUGUCAAAAAGUCCUUCGGAAAAGUAGACACUGCAACUCCUCAUUGGCUCCUCUCCCUAGCAGCGAGUCCACCAUCUUAUGUACUACUUCUAUGGAGAUUGAAGCCGGCGCUGACGCCACAUGCGGCAUAACACGCCUAAUCUACUGAUACAGGCCUUGAGUUUGCAGCUUCGUAUCCCUAGUUCAGAGCAGGGUUUACCUGUGACUGGCCUCCCCCGAUUCCCUAACCAGGAAGGGAAGGCGCUUGUCGAAGAGUCAUAACUUCCACCAUAGCACAUUCCUCGAGGCUAGGAUUACAUUUGGAUCUCGCGGCCUCCAUUCGCCUCAGGCCUUCCAUCGUUGUGACGUCACUGCAGGGGUAUCUUCUUGCUGCUGUUCCUACUUUGGCUGCUGCUACACUGAUGAUGCAUUUCGGCUACGAGUUUUCCUACUUUGGGUGCCUCUGGUGCUAACCAUGGCUUUUCGCUUGAUUGGAAAAACCGAAAUUUCCUACAGACUGCUUUCCAUAAUAGGGGCUACAUAUAUUUGUGUAAAAAUUCCCUUGGCUUUCAUACAAAUGUGGGCAUGUUUCCUGCCCUAUCCGUUAAGGGCAGUUAUUUAUUUUUUGAAUAAAAUAACCGUUCCCGCAUUCUAUCUCUGAGUAGGGCUUAUCGUUUGAGUUUUUAGGCCACCCGAGCUGAGUUUUAGUGGCCAAAUCCUCGAGCCCAUCAUUACUGAACAAUUUUUAUUAUAUUAUUGAACGUGUUUAAUCCAUUUAAACAUUUGCUAGGAUGUGAUAAGAGCAGGACACCGUGUGAUUGCAUUAUUUGUCAAUCUUAAAUCUGUUCAGUUUAUGUAGUGGUUUAGGGAUAAAAAAUCAAAAGUAGUAUGAUAUAGUUUGUUCAACGUAUUAAUAGCCUUUUAAAAAAUGUAAUAUAGUGGGGCACUCUUCACUUUCGUUUGAGGAGCAAGAGAUCUUAAAUUUGAUAUUCAUUGUAGACUACCUGUACUUUUUUAUUAGAAUAUUAGAAUUUUUGAGGAGCAAGAGAUCUUAGAUUUGA